UGGGGAAUAUUGGACAAUGGGGGCAACCCUGAUCCAGCCAUGCCGCGUGAGUGAUGAAGGCCUUAGGGUUGUAAAGCUCUUUCGCUAGGGAAGAUAAUGACGGUACCUAGUAAAGAAGCCCCGGCUAACUUCGUGCCAGCAGCCGCGGUAAUACGAAGGGGGCUAGCGUUGUUCGGAAUUACUGGGCGUAAAGCGCGCGUAGGCGGGCUAUUAAGUCAGGGGUGAAAUCCCGGGGCUCAACCUCGGAAUUGCCUCUGAUACUGGAAGUCUUGAGUUCGAGAGAGGUGAGUGGAAUACCGAGUGUAGAGGUGAAAUUCGUAGAUAUUCGGUGGAACACCAGUGGCGAAGGCGGCUCACUGGCUCGAUACUGACGCUGAGGUGCGAAAGCGUGGGGAGCAAACAGGAUUAGAUACCCGCGUAGUCC
rnacentral:rRNA from 1 species